UACAGAGGGUGCAAGCGUUGUUCGGAAUUAUUGGGCGUAAAGGGCGCGUAGGCGGUGCUGUAAGUCUGUAGUGAAAUCUCUGGGCUCAACUCAGAGUCUGCUAUAGAAACUGCAGUGCUGGAGUGUGGCAGAGGUAGGUGGAAUUCCUGGUGUAGUGGUGAAAUGCGUAGAGAUCAGGAGGAACACCGGUGGCGAAGGCGGCCUACUGGGCCAGCACUGACGCUGAGGCGCGAAAGCUCGGGGAGCGAACGGG
rnacentral:rRNA from 1 species